rnacentral:rRNA from 1 species
UACGUAGGGUGCAAGCGUUAAUCGGAAUUACUGGGCGUAAAGCGUGCGCAGGCGGUUUUGUAAGUCUGUCGUGAAAUCCCCGGGCUUAACCUGGGAAUGGCGAUGGAGACUGCAAGGCUAGAGUUUGGCAGAGGGGGGUAGAAUUCCACGUGUAGCAGUGAAAUGCGUAGAGAUGUGGAGGAACACCGAUGGCGAAGGCAGCCCCCUGGGUCAAGAUUGACGCUCAUGCACGAAAGCGUGGGGAGCAAACAGG